UUAGGCUCUAAGUAUAUUUUACUUAUGAGGCCCUUGCUUAUGUAUAGCUAGUAAAAUCUUCUCCCCAUCUGUAGGCUUUCUAUGUAUCUUGCUAGCUAUGUUCUUUGCCAUACAGAAACUCUUCAGUUUGAUGCCAUCCCAUUUAUCAUGUCUUUCUUUGAUUUGUUGUGAUUCUGGAUCUUUACUUAGGAAGUUUUGACCCAUGCCUAAGAGCCCUAGUGUUUCCCCAACCCCUUCUUGUAAUAUUGUCAUGAACGUCUUUGAUCCAUUUGGAAUUGAUUUUGGUGCAGGG